AAGAGCUUGCUUUUCAAAGUUAGUGGCGGACGGGUGAGUAACGCGUGGGUAACCUGCCUCAUACAGGGGAAUAGCAGCUGGAAACGGCUGAUAAAACCGCAUAAGCGCACAGUGCCGCAUGGCACAGUGUGAAAAACUCCGGUGGUAUGAGAUGGACCCGCGUCUGAUUAGCUUGUUGGCGGGGUAACGGCCCACCAAGGCGACGAUCAGUAGCCGGCCUGAGAGGGUGAUCGGCCACAUUGGGACUGAGACACGGCCCAAACUCCUACGGGAGGCAGCAGUGGGGAAUAUUGCACAAUGGGGGAAACCCUGAUGCAGCGACGCCGCGUGAAGGAAGAAGUAUCUCGGUAUGUAAACUUCUAUCAGCAGGGAAGAUAAUGACGGUACCUGAUUAAGAAGCCCCGGCUAACUACGUGCCAGCAGCCGCGGUAAUACGUAGGGGGCAAGCGUUAUCCGGAUUUACUGGGUGUAAAGGGAGCGUAGGCGGCGGAGCAAGUCAGAAGUGAAAGCCCGGGGCUCAACCCCGGGACGGCUUUUGAAACUGCCCUGCUUGAUUUCAGGAGAGGUAAGCGGAAUUCCUAGUGUAGCGGUGAAAUGCGUAGAUAUUAGGAGGAACACCAGUGGCGAAGGCGGCUUACUGGACUGACAAUGA
rnacentral:rRNA from 1 species